GGAAUAUUGGACAAUGGGGGCAACCCUGAUCCAGCAAUGCCGCGUGUGUGAAGAAGGCCUUCGGGUUGUAAAGCACUUUUGUCCGGAAAGAAAUCCCUUGCCCUAAUACGGCGGGGGGAUGACGGUACCGGAAGAAUAAGCACCGGCUAACUACGUGCCAGCAGCCGCGGUAAUACGUAGGGUGCGAGCGUUAAUCGGAAUUACUGGGCGUAAAGCGUGCGCAGGCGGUUUUGUAAGACAGGCGUGAAAUCCCCGAGCUCAACUUGGGAAUGGCGCUUGUGACUGCAAGGCUAGAGUAUGUCAGAGGGGGGUAGAAUUCCACGUGUAGCAGUGAAAUGCGUAGAGAUGUGGAGGAAUACCGAUGGCGAAGGCAGCCCCCUGGGACGUCACUGACGCUCAUGCACGAAAGCGUGGGGA
rnacentral:rRNA from 1 species